rfam:Canis lupus familiaris chromosome 35, whole genome shotgun sequence.
UUAAAGGCUCUUUUCAGAGCCACCCAAACCUCUGAAAAGAGCUG